rnacentral:snRNA from 1 species
GGCACUGGGGGUUGGCACUCCUGGCUCCCAGAACGGGGUUCAAAUCCCUGCAGUGUC